UAGCAUCAACAAAUAUUACAUUUUUACAUACAUACAUGAGGUACGAGUUAAUACAAGACAUAGUUUGAAGCAAACUUAACAGUGCAGUGUUAGAUAGAGUUCUAGGAUUUAAAACAUAAACGGUUCGGAUGGAGAUGAGCAUUAUAAGACUUCUUCUAAGGGUAUUCUGAGACUUGUAACAAUACCCUAGGAUUUCGAGGCUUCCUCCUCGGUGGACUCCUGCGGUGUUUCUGAAAAUAGCCACAAGGGAUAACCCUUAGUACGAGGUACUCAGCAAGGCUUACCCGACUAACCAAUAUAAUAGUUUCUCUUGGGAGUACAUGAUAGCUUUUUCGGUGUACUUGGCUGAUACAUUUUUGCCAAAAAGCUUACUAAAAGUGAGACCUUAGCUUUAUCUUUUAUUUGGGUUAAG
rnacentral:lncRNA from 1 species